rnacentral:lncRNA from 10 species
CAAAUCUACAAAUUUAUAUUAAUAAAAGCUAAAGUGUCCAUUUGAAAUAUCUGUUGGAAUAACCUUAUUGGAAAAGAAAAUAGUCAAAAAUAGUACCCCAAAUUUCUAGUCCUUAAAUUGCCUCUUAGUGCUUCAUAAUUAUCAGUCCCCAUGUGCUUCUCUUCCUCUAAAGAGACAUGUUUUUACCUCUUACACAUAUUAAACAUGGAGACUUUGUUAUUCUAACUACAAGUUUCUCUUAAAACUACAGAUAAAUAUGCAAGGAAACUGCAUAAAAAUGGUGACAAUGGAAGGAAGGAAGGAAGGAAGGAAAUAAAAAGAAAUUUUUCUUACCUGCCUGUCCAUUAGGUAUCCAGAGAUCCAUGCUAGCCCAACACUUGUGCUAAUGGACCUAGAAACUACCAUCCACUUUGAUUUUAAUACUACAACCAUUACAUAUUCUCCUGUUACAGUGUAAGUCUAAUUAUACUUAUCAUCCUUACUCUAAUAGAUUUUUUAAUAUUUCUGUAACAAAUUAUGAUAUUUAUAUGAUGAUUUUUACUGAACCAAGUUUCACAACACUGAUGAAUUGUAUAACAUGUUCUCAUUUCCUUCACUGGUCAUUUUUUAUUUAAAAUUAUUUGUGUUCCUCCCCUGCCUUUUUUUAGAAUAAGAAUUUUCAGGCCUUGAUUUGGUUUCUCCCAGCCUUUAUUGAUUAUAUACCUCUGGCCAUUGUUCCUGCAUUUGAUUAAGAAAUUACAAAUUUUGGUAUCACAUAUCUGUUUGCCUUGUUUUCUUGAAAUACUUUUUCAGACAUAAAGUCAAUUGUGAUUUAGGGUGUUAUCCCUUAUAACACACAAAAAGUCUUGUAAUUUAUCUAAAGUGUCAGAUUGAAUCACAAAAAGUAUGGCCUUUUUACAUAGAAUUCAAUUGUAAUAGUAAAUAAUUCAAGAAACUAUUAUGAGCAAGAAUAAUCUGUUUUCUCCUUUGAAAUUUAUUCUCAUUAGCUAUAGUAUCUUCCAAGUUUUGUUUGGUGAUUCAGUGUUGAUUCAGUUGUUUGUGAGUAAAGGACUACCAUAUCUGAUAUAUCAUUUUUUAGUGGAAGGGCUGAGAGGAAGGUGGGAUGGGGACCAGCACAUCAUAAAUUCAUUCACUUAUUUAGCAAACACUUAUAUAGCAUUUCCCAUGUGCCAGGUACCUCUCUAAGAAAUUUACAAAUAGUAACCCAUGUAACCCUCAUUACAAUCCAAUGAGGUAGAUGCUCUUCAUGGCUCGCGUCUAUGCUCUCCGGUUUCUCCUCCCUACUGUCUAUUACAGCCCAUUUGCCAAGAAAAACUGGCCUAUGUGCCAGGUUUGGAAUGUAUACCAAAGGGUAUAUAGUCUGUUGAAUUCACAUUAUUUCUACCAUUAGCAUUAAUCAU